UGGGGAAUAUUGCACAAUGGGGGAAACCCUGAUGCAGCGACGCCGCGUGAAGGAAGAAGUAUCUCGGUAUGUAAACUUCUAUCAGCAGGGAAGAAAAUGACGGUACCUGACUAAGAAGCCCCGGCUAACUACGUGCCAGCAGCCGCGGUAAUACGUAGGGGGCAAGCGUUAUCCGGAUUUACUGGGUGUAAAGGGAGCGUACACGGGGGAGCAAGUCUGAUGUGAAAGGCCGGGGCUUAACUCCUGGACUGCAUUGGAAACUGCCAGACUUGAGUGCCGGAGGGGUAAGCGGAAUUCCUAGUGUAGCGGUGAAAUGCGUAGAUAUUAGGAGGAACACCAGUGGCGAAGGCGGCUUACUGGACGGUAACUGACGUUGAGGCUCGAAAGCGUGGGGAGCAAACAG
rnacentral:rRNA from 1 species